rnacentral:rRNA from 1 species
UACGUAGGGUGCAAGCGUUGUCCGGAAUUAUUGGGCGUAAAGAGCUCGUAGGCGGUUUGUCGCGUCGGCUGUGAAAACCUGGGGCUCAACCCCGGGCCUGCAGCCGAUACGGGCAAACUAGAAUUCGGUAGGGGAGACUGGAAUUCCUGGUGUAGCGGUGAAAUGCGCAGAUAUCAGGAGGAACACCGGUGGCGAAGGCGGGUCUCUGGGCCGAUACUGACGCUGAGGAGCGAAAGCAUGGGUAGCGAACAGG